ensembl:lncRNA
GGGAACUUGGGAGAAAAAAAACUUGGUCAAACCAUAAACCUUGCAGUUCAGCGAUGGCGGCCAUGACAGUUCCAUCCGGGUACUCCGUUGCUGAUUGACUGAGGUUGGUGAGGCAUCUAAAGCGGAUGAAUAUGGAUUACCUGCUAGACUCGAUUCAAGAACUGUUCGAGCAUUUAGAAAAUCAUUUUUCUAUGCGACCGACUGAUUCAGAAUAGGCAAAUUCAUAUGAAGACAAUGUUCAAAGGCCCGUGUUCCACAUUCCAUCUGUUUCGCUAAAUUAUCAUGGUCGUGCUUCCCAUCCGAAACAGUUCCUGCAUAUAUUAUCACGACACUUUGUGACGUUUUGGUCUUCUGCAAUGUUUUUUUCCCGGCUGUUCCUGCCCUAGCACUAGAAUGAAUAGAACGAUUAUCCCCAUUCAAUUGAAUUAUGCAUAAUGGGUGGACUGGCGGCCAUUGCAAGCGUACCCAUAGUAGCAAAGCAGGAAGUGUACCCAUCAAUUUGGUCUGUGAUAUGUUUUAACAGCUCAACGGACAUAAAAUAAAAUACUUUCCAUUGCUGGAGCCACAUCAGUUAGCAUAAGUUCAAUUAACAUUCUCCAGUACCAUGUAAAUUAUUGCGUCACGAUACCAGGCAGCCAUUGCAAGAGUACCCAUGAUGUUCCAUGUCGUUUCUAUUCAUUAAAUUUCUAUGGUUUGUGCCACCAUUUUUCUUUCCAAGCAAGCGGAAGUUUGAGGGCUCCUUCAACCAAACGUUUGUUGUAUUUGAAGGAGAGACUCGUUUUCAUGAACAUGUUUUCACUUGAGAAAUACUGCACCAAACAUCUUGGUUAGUUGUAAAAUUGCGCGACUAAAACCUCCUAGACAAAAACAAUGAAUUCAGAC